GAUCAUGGCUCAGGACGAACGCUGGCGGCGUGCUUCAUACAUGCAAGUCGAACGAUAAGGCACCUUCGGGUGUACAUAAGUGGCGGACGGGUGAGUAAUAUGUAGAGAAUCUGCCCUAGAGAGUGGGACAACAGUUGGAAACGACUGCUAAUACCGCAUAUGAGCGUACCUGAAAUGGUAUUCUUGAAAACUCCGGUGCUCUGGGAUGAGUCUGCAUCUGAUUAGCUGGUUGGGGGUGUAAUGGACCACCAAGGCGACGAUCAGUAGCUGGUUUGAGAGGAUGAUCAGCCACAAUGGGACUGAGACACGGCCCAUACUCCUACGGGAGGCAGCAGUGGGGGAUAUUGCACAAUGGGGGAAACCCUGAUGCAGCCGACGCCGCGUGAGUGAAGAAGUAUUUCGGUAUGUAAAGCUCUAUCAGCAGGGAAGAUAAUGACGGUACCUGACUAAGAAGCACCGGCUAAAUACGUGCCAGCCGCCGC
rnacentral:rRNA from 1 species